UACGGGGGGAGCAAGCGUUGUUCGGAUUUACUGGGCGUAAAGGGCGCGUAGGCGACGCAACAAGUCACUUGUGAAAUCUCCGGGCUUAACCCGGAGCGGUCAAGUGAUACUGUCGUGCUAGAGUGCGGAAGGGGCUACUGGAAUUCUCGGUGUAGCGGUGAAAUGCGUAGAUAUCGAGAGGAACACCUGCGGCGAAGGCGCUCUGCUAGGCCGUAACUGACAGCUGAGGGACGAAAGCUAGGGGAGCGAAUGGG
rnacentral:rRNA from 1 species